UACGGGUAUUAUCGUAAUAAUUCGCUUUGAAUGACUACCCAGGAUUUCCUCCGUUUCUUUUUUUUCUCUCUCUAUUUUCUUUAGAUUUUCUCUCUCUUCCUCUACACUAUCUGUGAAGCGAUUUUCUUUGAUAUGCUCUUCGAUUUCUUCCGUUUUGUUCAUCAAUUUGUCGCAUUUUCUUGUUAAGUUUUACUCCUCUUUGUGGCGAAUUUUUCUCCAACGAUAUACAGCUAAGGUGCGGAGAUGGAUGUCAUCCCGCUUCACACUUCCAUAACAAGUAGACUGAGUUAUACUACAUAUUGUUGCUCUUGUACAAUAUGUAUUACAUACUAUAUUACAAGAGUAGCAGCAAAAUAUAUUGCUAUUAAGUUAUAUAGUCUUAUUUGAGAAGACUAUAUAAAGAGCAGAUAUAGGGAAUUGCAGAUUGAGCUAUAUUACAAGAAUAGCAGUCUGCAGAUACAGGGAAUUGCAUAUGCGUAAAUGAACUAAACAACUUAGCUAUCUGAACAAGUAAGAACGAUCUAAAACCCCCAGCGAGUGUACAUACACUUUAUUGAUUAUUGUGUUUACCUUUUAGAUUGUUUGGUUUACUUUUGAAUAAUUUUUAUUUAAUACAUACGGAUGUUUUAUUUACACACUCAAUUCUUUAUGCUGCCUUGAUUUGCAAUGACUCUUUUUUGUCACUAACCUACUAGCUUAAUUGGUAGGCUGCAACUGCUGCUCUGGAGGCCCUGCCAAGCCUGCAGCUGCUGCUCUGGAGGCCUUGCCAAGCCUGCAGCUGCUGCUCUACCAAUGCUGCUUAGGUUGCUGCUACAGCUGCUGCCCCGACAUGGCCUGCUGCUGCAGCUGCUGCCCUGCCAUGGCUUGCUACUACAGCUGCUACUUUUGCGCUGCCAAGGGUGCUGUUGCAACUGCUGCUUUGAUUUUCAUUUUUUGAUUUUAUCUACUUUUUCAACAUGUCCCUUCUCAUUGUGGACAUGGUCCUUUCUGCAUAUAUAUUAGGAUAGUAAUUAAGCUUUUCUUAUUUACUUUUGAGUAUUUUUAUUUACUUUUGUGAUUUUUCAGUAUAUAGACAAAAAAAAAACGAUCGAUUGUGUCAACUAAUUAUUCUUACUCUAUAAUAGCCUACUAGCUCAAUAGUUAGAGCAUUGUGCAAGUGCACAAAAGAUGUGGGUUCGAAUCCCACGUAGGUUCUUCUAACGCCUCGAACCAUUGUAAUGUAAUUAUUUUUUUUAAUACUUUUGAGUUUUUCUAAUUUUCAUUUGAGUAAAUAUUAACUAC